rnacentral:rRNA from 1 species
UACGUAGGGGGCUAGCGUUGUCCGGAAUCAUUGGGCGUAAAGAGCGUGUAGGCGGCCCGGUAAGUCCGCUGUGAAAGUCGGGGGCUCAACCCUCGAAAGCCGGUGGAUACUGUCGGGCUAGAGUGCGGAAGAGGCGAGUGGAAUUCCUGGUGUAGCGGUGAAAUGCGCAGAUAUCAGGAGGAACGCCGGUGGCGAAAGCGCUCAUCUGGCCCAAUACUGACGCUGAGGCGCGAAAGCUAGGGGAGCAAACGGG